CAGAGAAUAGUUUAAUUAGAAUUUUGGUUUUGGGAAUCAAAGGUGGAAGUGUUUCUUCUCUGA
rnacentral:tRNA from 1 species